rnacentral:piRNA from 1 species
CUGAUUGAGGAGUUGACUUUAAGGA